rnacentral:sRNA from 18 species
UAUAGGCACAGGCAGAAAUGCGCUGUAUACUCAUGCAAUCGAAUUAGCGUUUAAGCGAACUGUAAGCUCGCCGACCAUGAGUCCAUAACAACACCCCUAGAAGUAGUCGCCUGAUCAGCGACGAAACUAGGGGUAUUUUUUUA